rnacentral:rRNA from 1 species
UGGAUGUGUCAUAUCACCCUGCAGCUCUGAUCUCCCACUGAAGCUAAGCAUGGUUGGGCCUGGCCAGUACCUGUAUGGGAGACCUCCUUGGGAAAACUAAAGUUGCUUCUGG